rnacentral:lncRNA from 1 species
GGGAGUCAUUUUCUGGACCGGUUCGUAGAGAAGGCGGGACUUCUGGCUUUUGACUGGCCACUUCCCCUGCUGGCUGUGGAGUGGGCUAUGUCACCAUGUGGUUUUACUACGGCAAGGCUGCUUCCGAGGGGUCGUGGAAACUGGAGCUGAGAAGUCAAGGACUUAGGCCUCCGUGAUAUCACGUUCCCCAGAGUCCCGAUGAUCUUGUCGUGUCCGGGGGGUGUUCCACCCAAAAACUGAGCGUGUGCACCAUCUGUAGGGAAUGUCGUAGACAGAGGCUCGGAAAGACUUGCAGGUCACGACCCUCGCCCUGCCAUUUCCUGGCUCGCUUUUCCUUGCCAGUGCUACUGACGUAAUAGGCGCUGAUAUGACCUUUGGCUGGGGCCUCUGAGACUUUCCCCGAGCGUUUAUUUCUAUAAGAUGCCGAGCUUCUUGGCUACACAACUGCACUGGUGGCUUUCACUACACUGUUAAUGAUCUGUCAUGGGGUGAAUCACCUUGACCUGGGGUUCUCACAAACCACUUGGUCUUCCAUGGGAAUCUCUGCUUCUACACUACAGAGCGGGAAAGGGGAAACCAGGGUACUUGGAAUGACGCUAUGGCCAAAGAAGGUCAGUCCCUGUGAGUACAAGUCAGGUGUGGAGGGACUUUGGGGUGUUCUCUCUUGCCCUGACACCAAGGAGAGUAGUCACACACCUCCUUCCAGUCUUCCUCUCCCAAUUCUGACAUUUCAUCCUAUUGUCCCCUGACUCCUACUUCACCAAGCCUCACUUUUUCUACUCCCCCCCUCCCCAUACUUCAACUCUUCUGUUAUUGGCAACCACAUAACAUGUCUUGAGCUGGUUUGUAUCCUUAGUUAUUGAAAACGAGCUCUUCGAGACUGGCUUCUUCACUCUAAGUGUGGGCAUGCUGAUGAUCAAAGGCCUGUCUUUUCUUUGCACAGCACUUAAUGCCAACUUGUUCUCCAGUCUCUCUACUUAGGCCCUUCAGGUGGCAACCAUGUGUUUCCA